GAGCAGGUUUGACAUCCCCUCCCCAAGGAUGUGUCCAGAUGAGGUAGACAUAGCACUAAGGGAAGCAGCAUGGUUCUCAUCAAAGGAAUUGUGCAGUACAACUUCUUAAGAAUAUUGGGAACAGGACCUAAGGCCCAAUGAAACUCCAGAGUUUCCUAGAGUUCCAAAGCAUACUCUGAUAUACACACAUACAUUAUAUGUAGUUCUUACAUACAUCAGCCUGAAUGUGUGGCCUCUUCCUAUAAGAGUCUUCACUCCCUGUUGUCCCCACAGUCCUGUACUGACCAAAAGGUAACUCUCCACCUCCAAACCCUGCCCUCCAAAUGCUGGUUCAGUUGUUGCUCAGCUACCUGUGAAACUUUAGUGACCACAAGGCUUCAACUCCC
rnacentral:lncRNA from 1 species